rnacentral:rRNA from 1 species
GACGAACGCUGGCGGCGUGCUUAACACAUGCAAGUCGAACGGAAAGGCCCCUUUGGGGGUACUCGAGUGGCGAACGGGUGAGUAACACGUGAGUAACCUGCCCUUGACUUCGGGAUAACUUCAGGAAACUGGGGCUAAUACCGGAUAGGAAUCCUUGCUGCAUGGUGGGGGUUGGAAAGCUUCGGCGGUUUUGGAUGGACUCGCGGCUUAUCAGCUUGUUGGUGGGGUAGUGGCUUACCAAGGCUUUGACGGGUAGCCGGCCUGAGAGGGCGACCGGCCAUGUGGGGAGUGAGAGCCGGCCAGGACCCCGGCGGGGGCAGGAGGGGGGGAAGUUUGCAAGAGGGGCGGAGGCCGAAGCCCACACCGCCGGGGGGGGGAUGACGGCCUGGGGGUUGAAACCCGUUUACAGCGGGGGCGAGGUUUGGGGUGAGGUUACCGGAAAAAGAGCCCCCGGCUAACUACGUC